rnacentral:rRNA from 1 species
AGACAAUAUGAAGGUCAGGCUGAAGACCUUACCCGAUUAGCUGAGAGGUGGUGCAUGGCCGUCGUCAGUUCGUACUGUGAAGCAUCCUGUUAAGUCAGGCAACGAGCGAGACCCACGUCCACAGUUGCCAGCAUACCCUCCGGGGUGAUGGGUACACUGUGGAGACCGCCGCUGCUAAAGCGGAGGAAGGAGUGGGCAACGGUAGGUCAGUAUGCCCCGAAUCUCCCGGGCUACACGCGGGCUACAAUGGUUGGUACAAUGGGCAUCUACCCCGAAAGGGGAAGGAAAUCUCUUAAAGCCAAUCGUAGUUCGGAUUGAGGGCUGCAACUCGCCCUCAUGAAGCUGGAAUCCGUAGUAAUCGCGUUUCAAUAGAACGCGGUGAAUACGUUCCCGGGCCUU